CUGCUCCUAGUACGAGAGGACCGGAGUGGACGCAUCACUGGUGUUCGGGUUGUCAUGCCAAUGGCACUGCCCGGUAGCUAAAUGCGGAAGAGAUAAGUGCUGAAAGCAUCUAAGCACGAAACUUGCCCCGAGAUGAGUUCUCCCUGACUCCUUGAGAGUCCUGAAGGAACGUUGAAGACGACGACGUUGAUAGGCCGGGUGUGUAAGCGCAGCGAUGCGUUGAGCUAACCGGUACUAAUGAACCGUGAGGCUUAACCUUACAACGCCGA
rnacentral:rRNA from 1 species